ACACGUGGUGGAAUGUUUUAUAUUAUUUGCAUGUCUGCUGUCCUAUUUCCUUUAUUAUCAAACAAAUACAAAGUAAACCAUAGCCUUCUUCUCAUAUUCUUCAAGCUUCAAGUUGAUUUUACUACUCUGAAUCUCCUUUACUCUUUCUUGCUUCUGCUUGUGCACAAGCGUCAAAUUGGUAAAAGAUCCUUUAAAUUACAACUUUUGCCAAAUCGAAGAACACUUUGAAGCGUGCGAAAGGUUCUGUCUAGUCACAUCUUAUGAAGGAAAUUCUUCAGGAAAUUGCGCGAGUGAAGGAAGAUUCACUGAUUUAUUGAGCCUAAGUGAGCGCUACAAAGUAAAACAAGCAUUCGCCAAUAUUUUUACAGUACCAGUGCAGGCCAUUUAGACAUUCAGACUUCAGGCUGAGAAGUGUAUGAGAACAGGAAGAAGCUUUGAUACAUGUUCCAUUACUCCUAAAAAGAGGUCGAAACAGUACCAAAUUACUUGCCCAAUUAAGCCAAACAUGUAUAUUUUCAUAUAAUGUAGGUGCGACAGUUCAAUCAAUAUUAUGUACAAACUGAUCACUGUUGGGCCGUGCUAAGCACGGUCCUAGGCCAUCUAGUCUAUUAUAUAAGUAAAUAACACAGAUGAAUAUAUGAAUAAUUAAUUUGAA